UACAGAGGUCUCAAGCGUUGUUCGGAUUCAUUGGGCGUAAAGGGUGCGUAGGCGGCGCGGUAAGUCGGGGUGUGAAAUCUCGGAGCUUAACUCCGAAACUGCAUUCGAUACUGCCGUGCUUGAGGACUGGAGAGGAGACUGGAAUUUACGGUGUAGCGGUGAAAUGCGCAGAUAUCGGGAGGAACACCAAUGGCGAAGGCAGCUUGCUGGGACGGUACUGACGCUGAGGCGCGAAAGCGUGGGGAGCAAACAGG
rnacentral:rRNA from 1 species